AGCGCAGGCGGAAGUGGUGACGCUGGCGUCCCCGGAGCCUGCGGCAGGAGGCUGUGACGGCCCCGGCGCUGACGGCGGCGGACCGGGGGGCGGCGUGGACGCCCGCAGCGCCGGCUGGGGCAUCACCGCGGGCCUCGACCCCGAAAUGGCGCUGCUGGCCGAACACCUGCUGAAGCCGCUACCGGCGGACAAGCAGAUCGAGACCGGGCCCUUCCUCGAGGCGGUGUCCCACCUGCCGCCCUUCUUCGAUUGCCUUGGGUCCCCAGUGUUUACUCCCAUUAAGGCAGACAUAAGCGGCAACAUCACGAAAAUCAAAGCGGUGUAUGACACCAACCCAGCCAAGUUCCGGACCCUGCAGAACAUCCUGGAGGUGGAGAAAGAAAUGUAUGGAGCAGAGUGGCCCAAAGUUGGGGCCACACUGGCGCUGAUGUGGCUGAAAAGGGGCCUCCGUUUCAUCCAGGUCUUCCUUCAGAGCAUCUGCGACGGGGAGCGGAACGAGAACCACCCCAACCUCAUCCGUGUCAACGCCACCAAGGCCUAUGAGAUGGCCCUCAAGAAGUACCACGGCUGGAUCGUGCAGAGAAGAUCUUCCAGGCAGCGCUGUAUGCAGCCCCCUAUAAGUCCGACUUCCUGAAAGCACUCUCCAAGGGGCAGAAUGUGACAGAGUAGGAGGGCCUGGAGAAGAUCCGCCUCUUCCUAGUCAACUACACGGCCACCAUCGAUGUCAUCUAUGAGAUGUACACCCAGAUGAAUGCGGAGCUUAACUACAAGGGGUAGUCAUGCCCACCGCUGGGCACACCCCCGCCUUGAGGCCACACGGAGAAACAGGCAAACCAGAAUCACUGUGAAUCAAGUCGGCGGCUGCCCCUGGCCUGUGUCCCCCAGAGCAGCCCAGCGUCCU